rnacentral:rRNA from 1 species
UACGUAGGGUGCGAGCGUUAAUCGGAAUUACUGGGCGUAAAGCGUGCGCAGGCGGUGAUGUAAGACAGAUGUGAAAUCCCCGGGCUCAACCUGGGAAUGGCGAUGGAGACUGCAAGGCUAGAGUUUGGCAGAGGGGGGUAGAAUUCCACGUGUAGCAGUGAAAUGCGUAGAUAUGUGGAGGAACACUGAUGGCGAAGGCAGCCCCCUGGGUCAAAACUGACGCUCAUGCACGAAAGCGUGGGGAGCAAACAGG